UAAUAUGCUCUUCUGUUAAUAAUCUAUUCAUUGCUUGUCCUCAAAACAUUGGUCAAACCUCAUUUGUCAAAUCUUUCUUGCUUUCCCCCUUGUCCGUCUGUCUGCUUGACAAUCAAUCAACCAUUCCCUGGUUUUCUGACUUUCCGGCACCAGGGUUUGGUUUCCAUUUUCAUUUUCUUCCCCCUUGCCUUUCUUUUUCUUUCCCCUCAUUUCUGUCUUUAGUUUUGUUUUGUUGGUUUUUUGAGGCAGAAUCUCACUAUGUCUUGAACUCACUGUGUAGCCCCAGAUGGCCUUGAGCUAGGAGUGAUCCUUCUGCCUCAUUACAGGUAAUCUGGUAGACGCUUUGGGGGCUUUGAUGGAGCACGCCUGCAACCUCAGAGCUCCAGCAGAUGGCGACUUCGAACCCAGUCUGGUGAUUUAGACGCAGUCUCAAAGUAAACAAUUAAAACGGUUUGGGGGAUGUGGGUCAGUGUCCAGGCUGUGGGUUCAAUCUCCAGUACAGCAGACAAAAGCCAAACAAAACAAAACAAAACAAAACAAAACAACCCACUCAAACAAAAACAACUCUAAGCAAACUGAUUAAACAGAUUUUUUAAGUGUUUGCUGAUUCUCUUAGCAGUGGGAAGAGAAAAACUAGUGCCCCUUUGACUAUUAAUGCUCCUUCAGAGGUAUUUUGUUUGAAAUAAAAUCUCAAAGGGAAAAUUGUAAGUACUAUCCAACAUCACUGAAUUACUGAUUGAUUUUUUAGGUGGCCUCGUGUAAAAUGGUCAUACUACUUAAUUUCCAGCCUUAAGUGUUCCCUCUGCCUCAGUGGUCAGUAUUGUGCCUACCUGGACAGGAAGCCCUUUUCCUGUAUCAAUAUGCCUAAAUCAUCCCAAUAAAACUCUCUUGCUGCGCUUUCUUUGGGGAGGCAUUGCUUUGAGGGUGAACUCCAGUGUGCCCCUUCCUUCAUUCUUUCACUUCUUUAAUCUCCUCCAGGUCGUGCUGAUUAGCUUUGCCUCACCAAGGAGCAACUCUACCCCAUUCAGUGAUAGAUUCAGAACCUCUGAAGCAGCUUUUUUGGUCUGCACUUUAAAUAAACAAGCCUCAAACAGUAUUUUCUAAUGUAAUAACACUGCAUGUAUGUAUUAGGUGUAUUCACUGAUAAACUAAAUAAAUUGAUAAGUUUGGGUAUCAUGGAAAAAAGGGAAAAAAUCAAAAGGCAUCUAGCUUUUAACUCUGAAGUGUAUUUUCAUUGCAUUUUUCCUGAUUUCUCCCUGAAAUGAUGCUUGGUUUGAAAAUAAGGAGGCAAACGUGAAUUGGGAGUGUUCCAGUCAAAUCUAAUCACGGCAUAAAAUUAUUGGUGCAUAAAAUCCAUGUUCAAAUGCACAUGAUGGACGGAAAAUUAAAAUGAGCUUCCAAUUUGC